rnacentral:rRNA from 1 species
UGAAUACGAGAUGCUACGGCGUCGAAGCAGUGUAUGUCAGACUUCCAAGAAAAGCUCGCAAUGUCAUAAAUAAAGAAUGCCUGUACCAUAACCGACACAGGUGGGUAGGUAGAGUAUACUAAGGGGCGCGAGAUAACUCUCUCUAAGGAACUCGGCAAAAUAACUCCGUAACUUCGGGAGAAGGAGUGCCUUCUUUAAGAAGGUUGCAAUAACAAGAUCCAAGCAACUGUUUAUCAAAAACACAGGUCUCCGCUAAGUCGUAAGACGAUGUAUGGGGGCUGACGCCUGCCCAGUGCCAGAAGGUUAAAGAAGUUGGUUAGCUUUUGCGAAGCUGAUGACUGAAGCCCUGGUGAACGGCGGCCGUAACAAUAACAGUCCUAAGGUAGCGAAAUUCCUUGUCGGGUAAGUUCCGACCCGCACGAAAGGCGUAAUGAUUUGGAUACUGUCUCGGAGAGGGACUCGGUGAAAUAGACUUGUCUGUGAAGAUGCGGACUACCUGCACCAGGACAGAAAGACCCUAUGAAGCUUUACUGUAACUUGAAAUUGAAAUUGGACUUUAUUUGCGCAGUAUAGGUGGAAGGCGUUGAAAGUAAUCUUGCGGGAUUAGUGGAGCCAUCAGUGAGAUACCACUCCUAUAAUGUUAGAUUUCUAACUUUGGAUCAUGAUCUGGUCAAAGAACAGUUUCAGGCGGGCAUUUUGACUGGGGCGGUCGCCUCCCAAAUGGUAACGGAGGCGUACAAAGGUUUCCUCUGAACGGGUAGAAAUCGUAUCUAGAGUGUAAAGGCAUAAGGAAGCUUGACUGUGAGACCUACAAGUCGAGCAGGGACGAAAGUCGGUCUUAGUGAUCUGACGGUGCUGAGUGGAAAGGCCGUCACUCAACGGAUAAAAGUUACUCUAGGAUAACAGGCUGAUCUCCCCCAAGAGUUCACAUCGACGGGGAGGUUUGGCACCUCGAUGUCGGCUCAUCGCAUCCUGGGGCGGUAGUACGUCCCAAGGGUUGGGCUGUUCGCCCAUGAAAGCGGUACGCGAGCUGGGUUCAGAACGUCGUGAGACAGUUCGGUCCAUAUCCGGUGUAGGCGUUAGAAUAUUGAGAGGAGCCUUCUUUAGUACGAGAGGACCGAGAAGGACAUACCUCUGGUGUACCAGUUAUCGUGCCAACGGUAAACGCUGGGUAGCUAUGUAUGGAGAGGAUAACCGCUGAAAGCAUCUAAGUGGGAAGCCCACCUCAAGAUGAGUAUUCCC